rnacentral:rRNA from 1 species
GGGUAACGGGGUGUUAGGGCACGACACCGGAGAGGGAGCCUGAGAAACGGCUACCACAUCCAAGGAUGGCAGCAGGCGCGCAAAUUACCCAAUCCCGACACGGGGAGGUAGUGACAAUAAAUAACAAUACGGGGUUCUUUCGGAUUUCGUAAUUGGAAUGAGUACAAUUUAAAUCUCUUAACGAGGAACAAUUGGAGGGCAAGUCUGGUGCCAGCAGCCGCGGUAAUUCCAGCUCCAAUAGCGUAUAUUAAAGUUGCUGCAGUUAAAAAGCUCGUAGUUGAAUUUCGGGACCAUCAUGUUGGUCGUGCCUCGGUACGUACUGGCAUUGUUGGUUUCUCCCUUCUGACGAACCAUGAUGUCAUUUAUUUGGUGUUGUGGGGAAUCAGGACUGUUACUUUGAAAAAAUUAGAGUGUUUAAAGCAGGCUCACGCUUGAAUACAUUAGCGUGGAAUAAUGAAAUAGGACGUUUGAUUCUAUUUUGUUGGUUUCUAGGAUCGACGUAAUGAUUAAUAGGGAUAGUUGGGGGCAUUAGUAUUCAAUUGUCAGAGGUGAAAUUCUUGGAUUUAUUGAAGACUAACUACUGCGAAAGCAUUUGCCAAGGAUGUUUUCAUUAAUCAAGAACGAAAGUUAGGUGAUCGAAGACGAUCAGAUACC